rnacentral:rRNA from 1 species
UACGGGGGGUGCAAGCGUUAUUCGGAAUCAUUGGGCGUAAAGGGCGCGUAGGCGGCCCCUUAAGUCAGAUGCGAAAGCCCUCAGCUUAACUGAGGAAGUGCAUUUGAAACUAAGGGGCUUGAGUAUGGGAGAGGGAAGCGGAAUUCCUGGUGUAGCGGUGAAAUGCGUAGAUAUCAGGAGGAACACCGGUGGCGAAGGCGGCUUCCUGGACCAAUACUGACGCUGAGGCGCGAAGGCGUGGGGAGCAAACAGG